rnacentral:rRNA from 1 species
AAUAGAUACCCUGGUAGUCCACGCCCUAAACGAUGCACACUUGGUGUGGGCAGUUCAGUCUGUCCGUGCCGUAGCUAACGCGUUAAGUGUGCCGCCUGGGGAGUACGGUCGCAAGGCUGAAACUACAAAGGAAGUUGACGGGGGCCCGCACAAGCGGUGGAGCAUGUGGUUUAAUUCGACGCAACGCGAAGAACCUCACCUGGGCUCGAACGGCUAUGGACAGCUAGUGGAAACAUUGGUCUUCCCGCAAGGGACUGUAGUCGAGGUGCUGCAUGGCUGUCGUCAGCUCGUGUCGUGAGAUGUUGGGUUAAGUCCCGCAACGAGCGCAACCCUUGUCCUGUGUUGCCACUCCGCAAGGAAGCACUCUCAGGAGACCGCCAGCGAUAAGUUGGAGGAAGGUGGGGAUGACGUCAAGUCAUCAUGGCCUUUAUGUCCAGGGCUACACACGUGCUACAAUGGCCGGUACAACGCGUUGCCAACCCGCGAGGGGAGCCAAUCGUAAAAACCGGUCUCAGUUCGGAUUG